UUCCUACGGGGGGCAGCAGUGAGGAAUAUUGGUCAAUGGACGCAAGUCUGAACCAGCCAAGUAGCGUGCAGGAUGACGGCCCUCCGGGUUGUAAACCUCUUUUGUCAAGGAGCAACGCCGGCUACGUGUAGCCGGACUGAGAGUACCUGAAGAAAAAGCAUCGGCUAACUCCGUGCCAGCAGCCGCGGUAAUACGGAGGAUGCGAGCGUUAUCCGGAUUUAUUGGGUUUAAAGGGUGCAUAGGCGGAAUGCCAAGUCAGCGGUAAAAUCGCGGGGCUCAACCUCGCUCCGCCGUUGAAACUGGCG
rnacentral:rRNA from 1 species